rnacentral:rRNA from 1 species
AUGGCUGUUUGUACCGGUCCCGUUGGAGGAGGAGACGGCAGCCAGGGUAAGACGAGCCCCACCAGAACAGGGCCCUGCAAUUGCAACGGUGUUCUGCUAUGCCCCACCGGUGUCUAUUUUCAAGAAAGGAAAAAACGCCCCACCGGUGUCUCCUCCUUCCUUGGCACGCUACUUUGGAGGCCUGCCGAAAUUAUAAAGCCACAAAUCGGUGUUUACUUGUAUAUCAGUUUUCUUUUUGGCUGGUACUUUAUCAGUUUCUGUUUGAUUCUGCAACUUUUUUCUUUAAGGUCUAAAUUUCGUGAGGAUAUAUACAGUUCCCUUAAUCCAUUCAUUCUGGGCAAUUCUCUCAAGAGUUAG